UUAUUGGCUGAAGAAAAAAAAACAAAGAAUAACAAAUAAAAUCCAUUAUAUUGCAAAGGAAGAAUUUGUGCUGAACUUAUCACAGUGUUGGUUCACUGUCACUGCUCUCAUAGUGUGGUUUCAGCUGCAGCAGCUGCUUUCAGUGAGAAAGCUGUAAGAACCCACUGUACAUUAGCUUUAUUAGCAGCACACAGACACAGUCAGAGACUAGCUGGUGAACACAGUGGAGCAUUUAGCAGCUAAACACACAGAUAUUUCUCUCAGGAGCUGCUGGAGACCAAAACCUUCAGGAUUCUCUGCUGGUCCUCAAUCACUUUUCUCCACUGACUCUCACACAGACAGAACUGUGACUUUGUUCCAUCUAAAGGUCCAACUAGAAAACUCCUGUUUCUUUAACAUUAAUAGUUGACCUCUCUGUUAUACUUGAAUGAAAAUUGGUUAUUUGAACUCUCCUACAGUAAUAAAAGAAAAGGUCUGUAAUCCUCUGUCUUUCUCUCUCUCUUCAGUUUCAGAAUCUCUCAGAGGAGAAGCAGAGGACUGAGAAUGAGCUGAAGCCCAAGAUAACACAGUUGGAGAAUCAGCUCCUGCAGGAGAAACAGGACAGACAGAAGGACGUGGAGAACCUGAAGAAUCAGCUGGAGACCAAGAAGAAAAAGGUUCAUCUGAUCAUUACUAACUUAAAUGUCUCACAGCUGCACUUUUCUUUUCCUUCCUACCUUCACUGCUGCAUUCUGUGUUUAUUAGAACUUAUACAAUGGUCUGGGGGAAUACUCCAUUCUGAUUGGCUGCAGGGUGUCCAUUAAUCCCUGAUAUAUGGACACCUACUAAGUAGUUCCAGUCAAAUCGUCUGUUCACCGUUCUAAAUGAAUGCGCUAGCUGGCGUAUCAGCCUGUCUCUAAAAUGAGUAACCAUAGCAACGGGAACGCAGUCAAAGCCUCUGUUUACAAUUUAUUGCAACACCGCAAUAACUGGUUACUGUCUUCACACAGUCAAAAACUUGCACCCACGCUUUAAUCAAGGGUGUGUGUUUUUGUUCCAAUCAAGCAAGAGGACACCUGAAAUGACUGUGUGAGGACAGUUCAGUUGAUUGAAUGAACCAAGUCAGGUGUGCUGCUGCAUGGUUGGAAUGAAAACCUGCACCCACACCAGCCCUUUCAUGGAUCAGUUUGACAC
rnacentral:lncRNA from 15 species